AUGAACGCUGGCGGCGUGCCUAAUACCUGCAAGUCGCGCGAACAGACGAGGAGCUUGCUCCUCUGACGUUAGCGGCGGACGGGUGAGUAACACGUGGAUAACCUACCUAUAAGACUGGGAUAACUUCGGGAAACCGGAGCUAAUACCGGAUAAUAUAUUGAACCGCAUGGUUCCAUAGUGAAAGACGGUUUUGCUGUCACUUAUAGAUGGAUCCGCGCCGCAUUAGCUAGUUGGUAAGGUAACGGCUUACCAAGGCAACGAUGCGUAGCCGACCUGAGAGGGUGAUCGGCCACACUGGAACUGAGACACGGUCCAGACUCCGACGGGAGGCAGCAGUAGGGAAUCUUCCGCAAUGGGCGAGAGCCUGACGGAGCAACGCCGCGUGAGUGAUGAAGGUCUUCGGAUCGUAAAACUCUGUUAUUAGGGAAGAACAAAUGUGUAAGUAACUAUGCACGUCUUGACGGUACCUAAUCAGAAAGCCACGGCUAACUACGUG
rnacentral:rRNA from 1 species